GACAGAGGGGGCAAGCGUUGCUCGGAAUUACUGGGCGUAAAGGGCGCGUAGGCGGGAUGGCAAGUCGGUCGUGAAAUCCCUCGGCUCAACCGAGGAACGUCGAUCGAUACUGCUGUUCUUGAGGAUUGCAGAGGAGACUGGAAUUCCUGGUGUAGCGGUGGAAUGCGCAGAUAUCAGGAGGAACACCAGUGGCGAAGGCGGUUCUCUGGGCCUUACCUGACGCUGAGGAGCGAAAGCGUGGGGAGCAAACAGG
rnacentral:rRNA from 1 species